rnacentral:lncRNA from 1 species
CCUGUUCCAGUAUACAAUCCUCCUCCGGUUGUUGAACCACCACCAGUUUACAAUCCUCCUCCGGUUUACAAUCCUCCUCCUGUUUACACACCAACACCAAAGCCAGAACCACCAGUAGUCAAGCCUCCUUGUGACCCAAAACCAAAGCCACAGCCACCUGUCUACAAACCUGCUCCCAUUCCGGUUUAUAAGCCAAAGCCAAAGCCGCCAGUCUACAAGCCUGCUCCCGUCCCAGUUUACAAGCCAAAGCCAAAUCCAGAGCCUCCAGUCUACAAGCCUGCUCCCAUUCCGGUUUAUAAGCCAAAGCCAAAGCCACCAGUCUACAAGCCUUCUCCCAUCCCAGUUUACAAACCAAAGCCAAAUCCAGAGCCUCCGGUUUACAAGCCUGCUCCCAUUCCAGUUUAUAAGCCAAAACCAAAACCGCCUGUUUAUAAGCCUGCUCCCGUUCCAGUUUACAAACCAAAGCCAAAGCCACCCGUUUACAAGCCUGCUCCAGUUCCGGUUUACAAGCCAAAGCCAAAGCCGCCAGUCUACAAACCGGCUCCGGUUCCAGUUUACAAGCCAAAACCAGAGCCACCGGUUUACAAGCCAGCUCCGGUUCCGGUUCCAGUUUACAAACCAAAGCCAAAGCCGCCAGUCUACAAACCUUCCCCUGUUCCAGUUUAUAAGCCAAAGCCUGAGCCACCGGUCUACAAACCUGCCCCUGUUCCAGUUUACAAGCCAAAGCCAGAGCCACCGGUUGUCAAGCCUCCUUGUGACCCAAAACCAAAACCAGAGCCACCUGUCUACAAGCCUGCUCCCGUUCCUAUUUACAAACCUAAGCCAGAGCCGCCAGUCUACAAGCCUUCUCCAGUUCCAGUUUACAAACCGGAGCCAAAACCGCCUGUUUAUAAUCCUUCUCCUGUUCCAGAUUACAAUCCAACACCAAAAUCACCAUUGCCUCCGGUAAUAGACCCACCUUCACCAAAGAAACCUUGCCCACCAUUUUCUCUCCCAAAGCUUCCUCCUUUGCCCACCAUUCCUCCAAAGUAUUUCCAUCAUCACCCCAUCCUAGGAAAUCAUCAUCAUUUGCCCACCAUUC